GGGGCUGUAGUGGAGUGGGUAGAGAGUUUCAAAUUCCUUGGUGUCCACAUCACCAGCAAACUAUCAUGGUCCAAACACACCAAGACAGUCGUGAAGAGGGCACGACAACACCUUUUCCCCCUCAGGAGACUGAAAAGAUUUGGCAUUGGUCCCCAGAUCCUUAAAAAGUUCUACAGCUGCACCAUCGAGAACAUCCUGACUGGUUGCAUCAACGCCUGGUAUGGCAACUGCUCGACAUGCGACCGACCGUAAGGUCUUGUAAGGGCUUACAAGUAAGUAUUUCCCGGUUGUAUUCGGCGCACUUGACAAAUAACAUUUGUUUUGGAAUAAGGUUUGUGGUAAACACAGGCUUAGAUCUUAUACAUUUUGUUCUAUGAGAUAAUCUCCAUCAGCUAACGUCACCUUUUGUGAAAUUUGAAUUAUUUAUGUAAUCAGAUAAAACACAUACAGCACAUAAAGGCUUCAUAAUCCUAAACUUGUGUUAAGCACACAGACCUUAUUUUCGGCAUUUAUCCCAAAACCCUAUUCAUUCCUCAAAGGAAUGGGUGAACGAAGUAGAGUUAUUUAUUUUCAGGUUUUAGGACUACAAGCGGGCGAGCUCUAUUUAUGGACAGCAACAUCCGUAAAACGCUUUCUCAGAAACUUCCUGAUUGGCCCUUUCAGUAGCCAAUCACAUUCGAGAGAGACGUGUAGCGCAGCAAGAGCAUCUUCCAACAUGGCGUCUGUAUCCUCGGGAUUCCCUUUCAACCUGCCGGUUGCAUCUCUGUUACUGAUCCUGCUGCUAUGCCUGCAUUCGGGGGGAGGCCAGAAGAAGAAAGAGUCGAGAGAUAGGUUUACUAAAGAUUCAGUCUACUGCAGUGCCUGCAGUCUAGAAACAGUAGCCUCUAAACCUGGAACAUCUGACCUGAGACCUGAGGGGGAGUCAGGGCNNNNNNNNNNGGGUGGCUGGUGGGUAGAACGAGGGAAGGAGGAGGAGGGGAGAGAUUACUGGCUCUGAGACAGCAUGCUGCAUUGUCCCGGUAACCUUAUCUCUUGGCUACAGUCAGUUACCCCGCCGCUUUACAGUCGUCACCGCAGCAACGCCAAUUAGACAUCCUGUAAUCCCGUCUUCACAGGUUAACGACGGGGAUGGGACCGGCGGUGGUGAGCUCUGCAGGGGUGUUGUUGGGUUUUCAGGUUUCAUUUUGAGUGGCAGGGCUUAGUGACCUUUGGAUCGGACGUCAUUGAGUCUUGAAGUUCGAUGGCCAGAGUUUGGAUUGACCUAGGCUUUGUCCCAACUCCCAAAUGGCUCCCUAUUCCCUACUAUAUAUUAACUGAAACACUUUUGGCCAGGUGUUAGGGAACACUAUUAAUAAUAUUCCUAUAUGGUGCCAUUUCGGAUUUGCCCCUGGACCAGUUGCAGUACUUAGUACUCUUGUACUUUGCAGUUACAAGUCACAGUUUGACACAAAAUGGCUUCCCUGCAGUCAGAAAUCCAAGAUUAGAUGAUAUUGUUUCUUCUACUCAAGAGGCCCGAGGAGUCCUGGAUGAUGCAGUCAGGGCUUUCUGUGUGUCUGUUUGGCUUUCCCUCCCUCUCCUUUUUUCUCUCUCUCCCUCUUUCUACUCUCUCUCUUUCUUUUAUGACCUCUCUGGAGAAGCCACUAGCUACCUAAGAGUCAGUAUGACUCUCUUUCUCUCAAUUCAAUUUAAGGAGCUUUAUUGGUAUGGAUACAUUAUGUUUACAUUGCCGAAGCAAGUGAAAUAGAUAAUAAACAAAAAAUAGACACUAAACAUUACACUAAAGACCCCAGGGAGAAGAAACGAGGUGAGGGCAGGGAGGUAUAUGAGAAGGUGUGACAAGACGAGAGAAGGAGGGGGUCCUUCUCUCGUCUUGUCACACCUUCUCAUAUACCUCCCUGCCCUCACCUCGUUUCUUCUCCCUC
rnacentral:lncRNA from 13 species